UAAAAAUAAAAUCAUUUGGGCUUUACUCCAAUUGGAGUCACUUGAGAGUAAUGGAAUAAUGAAACAAAUUGGUGUAUGAGUAGUAACCUUAAGUGCCAUAUUUAUAAGAAUGAAUAGUAGUGUGUUCACCAAAAUUGUUAGAACAGUAGCCGCCCUACUUCACCUACUUCACCCUUUCUCUGCAUAUUUUCCUUUUCUACCUAAUAUAUAGUACCAAUCCCAAACAUUGUAAGGUUAAUGAGAGAAAGCCUUGAAGGGAGAAAAGAAAGAAAGAAGAAAAGAACCAAGAGAAGGAAGUAGAUGGGAAGAGGAUGAGAACUCAAGCAAGCUAGGAUUUCCUUUAAUUAAGGUUUCUCAGGUUAUGAGUUUGUGGUCGAGUCGUCGGUGAAGCUCCGCUCUGAUUAUGACAUGGGGAAUGGUUUAUUGAGUCUUGUACUUGUAUUCUUAUUUUAUUGUAAAUGUAUUAUUUUAGAAAACAAUUUUUAUUAAGCGAGGUUUAUGCUAAUUAGCAAUGUUUUGAAGUAUGUAAUAUCUAAAACCACUAUUUUAUAUUUUAUCUACGACUUCGAGUCGUUUUAAUUUUAUUA